rnacentral:rRNA from 1 species
UACGGAGGAUGCAAGCGUUAUCCGGAAUGAUUGGGCGUAAAGCGUCCGCAGGUGGCAAUGUAAGUCUGCUGUUAAAGAGUCUAGCUCAACUAGAUAAAAGCAGUGGAAACUACAUAGCUAGAGUACGUUCGGGGCAGAGGGAAUUCCUGGUGUAGCGGCGAAAUGCGUAGAGAUCAGGAAGAACACCAGUGGCGAAGGCGCUCUGCUAGGCCGUAACUGACACUGAGGGACGAAAGCUAGGGGAGCGAAUGGG